CUUUACCUUGCUGAACUCCUUAUUUUGCUGCUAGCUUUAUCAACUUCAGUAACUUUCUAGAAGAAGAGAUUCUGCCUCAGUCUGCCCUUUUUCCUCACUUUUCCAUAUUUACCUCUUUAAAACUUCCCAGAUACAAGUUUCAUUUCUGUUAAGCAUUACUUACAGAAAUUUUCUUAACUGCAACGCACAUCUGGAAAGCCAACUCUUAGGUAUGGAUCUGAUGUUCAAUAGCCAUCUUUAAUCUGUGAAAGGAAUAAAUGUAUUUCCUUUGCCUGGUGAAGCACCAGAGUAUAUAAGUAUCUCUAUUGUAGUCCUUCUUGUAUUUGACCUUAACUUCUUGCAUACGAAAGCCACCCUUCCAAAAAGCCCCUAGAACCCUAUUCCUGGCAAGAAAAACCUGAGGAGGUGCUGGUUUUGGAUGGCCUGAAUUCCUUCUAUCUUCUGUGUCAAUGGGGAGAGCCUGGAGCUACCAGAGAUGCUGGGCACGAAGAAACGGGCAAGAUGUUAUCCAUGGCCGUGCUGGUGGAGUAGCUGUGCUGCAGGAGUAAGAGGGGUGCGAGGACCUUUCAAGGGGGUGUGAUGUUGUUACUCCCCGAGAAGGAAAGAUGGCUGAGCAAAGCCUUUCCUCACCCAUGCCUGCUGGGCCUGGCUGCUUUCUGUGUGUAGGCUAUCUCAGUCCCUGGGUCUCCCAGGAAAAUAUCACCCAUUUCCCUCAUGGAAGCUUCCUGGCUGAUUUCUUAGAUGACUGGAGAAUGUUCUCCAAGGGAUAUGCUUGAAGUCUCACAGCUUCUCCAUGGUAUUCUGAUGUCCUACAGCCACUUUGGAAAACACCUCAUUUGUCUUCUGCACGCCCGGGAAACCGAGAACCCAGCUGUAGGCUGCUACAGGGGGGUCAGCUCCUGGUGAGAUUGGGGCCAGAUCUGCCUGCAGGACUGCAUAUGGGGAGUGUGGAGACGGGAAUCUCCCACCUCAGGAGGAGCUGGAGGGCGUUGCUCUUCACUUUUAUCUGUUAUAAUUAGGUAGUAGACCAAGACCUAAUGCUCAUCACGCUGCUCUAAGACCUCAAAGGCUCCAAACUUAGAUCUGCUCCGUUCUGGGGUUGCCCUAACUUUGUGCUGGAGAGCUGUGGAAGAAAUUGCAUGGCCAAAAGGAGAGCAAGUGGAAAGGAGCCAACUGACCACGUGGUGGCAACAUGGAGAUGCUAUGUGAAGGUUGCUUGGACCUGUGUUCCACUGGAGGAAAUGUCACUUCUACAGAGGGACCUGAAGUGAUUUCAUAGCUUAAAAGAGGAUGGCAAAAGCAUGAAAUGAGAUGGUGUGAACCCGCUCUGGCUGCUCCUGUUUCCAUGCAAGACUUCGCCCUCUUCCAGAAUGAAG